UAAUGAUGAUGAUAAUAAUAAUGAUAAUGACAACGAUAAUGAUAAUGACAACGAUAAUGAUAAUGACAACGAUAAUGAUAAUGACAACGAUAACGAUAAUGACAACGAUAAUGAUAAUUAAAGAAGAUGAAACUAACAACGAUACCGAAGGAAGGAAUAAUGAUGAUGAUGACGCGAUGCCAAGAAUGAUGAAAGUGAUGACAAGAGAAGGAAUACCCGAAGCCUGAUAACAACUGACCAAAUAAGAAAAAUAAAGCAAGAAAAACAUAAAGAGAGAAAAAAAGAUAAUGAAGAGAGAUAACGAAGGAAAUAAAAUGAUAUGCAAAUGAAUAUGCAAGAGGAGAUGGAAAGGAAAAAUAUAAAUGAAAAUGAACAAAUGAAGAUAUGAGUGAAUGAAAAUGAAGGAAGGAAUUAAAAGAAAGUGUGAUGGAUGAAAGAUAAAUGAGGACUAGAACGAAAUGAAUAAAUUGAACUUGAAAGAAAGUGACAGAGGGUAGGAAUGAAAGAAAAUGAAAAAAACUACGAAUGAAAGGGAAUAGAUGAAGAUAUGAAUGAAAAAUGAAAGAAGGCAUUUAUGAAAGACAGGAACGAAAGAAUUGUAAAAAAAGAAAAAAAAAUUAAUAGAAAAAUAACAGACUACAUGAAGAGUGACAAGCAAAGAAUGAAAGCAAAGACAUUCUUGGAAGAAAAUAAAAGACGACAAUGGAUAAAGACAAUGAUGAUGGUAAUGACGAUGACAAUGGUGUCAAUGACGACGUAAAAGAUAGUGACGAUGGAAGUGAUGAUAAUGACGGUGGAAGUGAUGACGAUGAUGUCGAUGGAAG